rnacentral:lncRNA from 1 species
AAUUUUUAUUGGAUAAUUUUUAUGGGGGAUAAUUUUUAUUGGAUAAUUUUUAUGGGGGUAAUUUUUAUUGGAUAAUUUUUAUGGGGGGAUAAUUUUUAUUGGGCAGGGUUGAGGUGGUCCCGUGCACUGCAAGGUGUGGAGAAGCAUCCCUGGCCUCUCCUUUCUUAGAUAUCAGUAGCAUCUACCUGCCAGUUUGUGACAAUCAAAGAUGUCUAUACGCUCUUUUUUGGUUGAGAACCACCGCUGUAGCUCACAACAAGGGUGCAGGGUAGGAGGGAAACUCAAGGUAGAAGCUCUUCAUCUUGCAGAGCCAGAAGUAAAACCUCCAGAUGGAAGGGCUGACCUCCAGAAAGAAGGCAGAACCCAGGACCAGGAAAGCCACCAAGAAGAUUUUGUGGUUUGAUGAAAGGACCAUGGACUUCAGCACUGGAUGGGCAAGACUCAAAUCUAAAUAUGUCACUUAUUGCUCUGCAGUGGGGUGGGAGGGUGGCAAAUUGCUUCACCUCGCAGAGUUCCGGUUUCCCAGGCUCUCAAAAGGAUAUAAAAAUAUCUACCACACAGGGUUGUUGUGGGCACCAGCUGAUGCCUCAGUGUUCUCUCAGAUGAUUGGUUGUCAUUUCUCCUCCUCCCUCGUUUCUAAGACCAGCAAAGCCAAGUUCUGCAGCGGGGCUGUGUGACUGCUCUCCAUCUUCCUGCGUACAUUUCACUCAGAUGAAGUCCUUUCUCGCCCUCUAAACAGCUGGCCGAGGAUGAGUCACCACCACAGGAGAGCCAUAUCCUAGAGAAUGAAAGGGGAGGGGCAUUGCAGGCAGUAAAAAAGCCAUUUUGUAGAAGGGCACGGAGAU